GACUCUAUGGCCUAAUGGAUAAGGCGUCUGACUACGGAUCAGAAGAUUCCAGGUUCAAGCCCUGGUAGAGUCU